rnacentral:rRNA from 1 species
UACGAAGGGUGCAAACGUUGCUCGGAAUUAUUGGGCGUAAAGCGCACGUAGGCGGCUCUGCAAGUCGGAUGUGAAAUCCCUCGGCUCAACCAAGGAAGUGCAUCCGAAACUGCGGAGCUUGAGUACUUAAGAGGAUCGCGGAAUUCCCGGUGUAGAGGUGAAAUUCGUAGAUAUGGGGAGGAACACCGGUGGCGAAGGCGGCGACCUGGACAGUAACUGACGCUGAGACGCGAAAGCGUGGGUAGCAAACAGG